GACGAACGCUGGCGGCGUGCUUAACACAUGCAAGUCGAACGGAAAGGCCCUGCUUUCGGGGUACUCGCGUUACGAACGGGUGAGUAACACACGGGUGGUCUGCCCUGCACUACGGGAUAAGCCACUGCAACUGGGUCUAAUACCGAAUAGGAACCAUAUUUAGUGUGAUGGUUGGAAAGUUUUUUCGGUGUAGGGUGAGCUCGCGAGCUAUCUGCUUGCUGGGGGGGUAAUGGCCUACCAAGACGGCGACGGGUAGCCGGCCUGCGUGGGUGGACGGCCAUACUGGGACCGAGAGACGGCACAGACUGCGACGGGUGGCAGAAGUGGGGAAGAUUGCACAAUGGGCGCCAGCCUGAUGCAGCGAGGCCGCGUGGCGGAUGACGGUCUUAGGGUUGAAAAAUCCUUUCGCUAGGGACGAAGCUCUUUGUGACGGUACCUAGAUAAGAAGCACCGGCUAACUACGUG
rnacentral:rRNA from 1 species